rnacentral:rRNA from 1 species
UACGAAGGGGGCUAGCGUUGUUCGGAAUUACUGGGCGUAAAGCGCACGUAGGCGGAUAUUUAAGUCAGGGGUGAAAUCCCAGAGCUCAACUCUGGAACUGCCUUUGAUACUGGGUAUCUCGAGUAUGGAAGAGGUAAGUGGAAUUCCGAGUGUAGAGGUGAAAUUCGUAGAUAUUCGGAGGAACACCAGUGGCGAAGGCGGCUUACUGGUCCAUUACUGACGCUGAGGUGCGAAAGCGUGGGGAGCGAACAGG